GCUCCUGGAUUCAGCGGCGGACGGGUGAGUAAUGCCUAGGAAUCUGCCUGGUAGUGGGGGAUAACGUCCGGAAACGGGCGCUAAUACCGCAUACGUCCUGAGGGAGAAAGUGGGGGAUCUUCGGACCUCACGCUAUCAGAUGAGCCUAGGUCGGAUUAGCUAGUUGGUGGGGUAAAGGCCUACCAAGGCGACGAUCCGUAACUGGUCUGAGAGGAUGAUCAGUCACACUGGAACUGAGACACGGUCCAGACUCCUACGGGAGGCAGCAGUGGGGAAUAUUGGACAAUGGGCGAAAGCCUGAUCCAGCCAUGCCGCGUGUGUGAAGAAGGUCUUCGGAUUGUAAAGCACUUUAAGUUGGGAGGAAGGGCAGUAAGUUAAUACCUUGCUGUUUUGACGUUACCAACAGAAUAAGCACCGGCUAACUUCGUGCCAGCAGCCGCGGUAAUACGAAGGGUGCAAGCGUUAAUCGGAAUUACUGGGCGUAAAGCGCGCGUAGGUGGUUCAGCAAGUUGGAUGUGAAAUCCCCGGGCUCAACCUGGGAACUGCAUCCAAAACUACUGAGCUAGAGUACGGUAGAGGGUGGUGGAAUUUCCUGUGUAGCGGUGAAAUGCGUAGAUAUAGGAAGGAACACCAGUGGCGAAGGCGACCACCUGGACUGAUACUGACACUGAGGUGCGAAAGCGUGGGGAGCAAACAGGAUUAGAUACCCGGGUAGUCCACGCCGUAAACGA
rnacentral:rRNA from 1 species